rnacentral:lncRNA from 1 species
GGGUGAGAAAAAUGAAAGUCAAACAAAUGUUGAGCUGGAUGUGGGGGACAAUUCUGUUAUACCANANAAUCACAUGGCAGGUGAUCCACAAGGAAAAGGGAGCAGGAAAAGCAUGAGGCGUAAGAGAGAGAAUCUAUUUAUGAAGGAUUACGUGCUCUGAGGGCGCUAUGCGUGUNGUAUGUUCUCUNUGACCAAUUCUGUUAUUCCCANUCUUCUUACAGUACAAUCUCUCCUUCUGAAAUUCUUCUUCUCUGAAUGAACCAGGUUAUUACUAUUGGAAUGCUUCCACUGUUGGCUGAAUACCUUUCACUAUAUUAUUCAGUUUCUUUUUGUUCAUUAUGAAAUACCCAUAUCAGACCUCUGUCAUAUUUUGGUUGCAAUAAAACUAUCCAUUCUAGAGUUUAUUUUAAUUCAUUCUUAGUUCCUAUUUGGUCAUUGCUAUAUAUCCUAGUAUUUCGGGGUUGUUUUUUUUGGUUACCGUUUCAUUGGUGCUUUCAUUGACGUCAUGGCUGAGAACACCCGUUUGAAGGAUCUCAAGCAAAAGUACAUAGUCAUUCCGAUGAACUUCGCAAACUCAUGGAUCUUCUUGAAAUUCGUGACCGGGAACAACGGGCUCAUACUCAACAAGUUCAGGCUGAUGCGCAAGCUCGUAUGGAUCAACUUCAACAAUCUUUAGAGUUAAUCGUGAAAUUGCAAUCUCAGUUUCAUGGUGUCACUUCGGGAGCAAAUCCGUUGCAUGUUGCAUUACUGGCUAAGGACAUAUCCUUGGGCUUUCCCCAUUUCGAUGGCCAAUCAUCGGUGUUAGUGUGGAUUUUUAAGGCAGAAAAGUUCUUUAACUAUCACCACACGCCGGAUGCGGAGAUAGUAGAUAUUGCUGCGAUGCAUUUCGAAAAAGAUGUAGUGCCUUGGUUUCAAAUGCUUCAAAGGCUAUCUGCGGUCAAACAUGGACAAAAUUGACGCAUGCUUUGGAAUCUCAGUUUGGACCCUCUCCUUUUGAUUGUCCAAUGGCAAAGCUUUUUAAAUUAAGCCAAACUAGCAUCGUUUCUGAUUAUUACCUGAAGUUUAUGUCGUUGGCAAAUAGAUCUGUGGGGUUAUCUGAUGAAGCGUUAUUAAAUUAUUUCUUGAGUGGGUUAAAUGCUGAGAUUAGACGUGAUGUGGUGGUUCAAACUCCUACUUCUUUGUUACGAGCAGUAGCUUUGGCAAAGUUAUAUGAGGAACGAUACUCGCCCACGGUUAAAUUUAAUCAUGUGCCUGUUAGACGAUAUUCUCCAUUGUCUUCAACGAGUUUGCAUACUUCACAACAACCGCUCAAACCUGGGGUUAAACCAUCUCUUCCACCAUUAUUACCAAAACCUACAAUUCCACCUUUGAACAAUAGUAAUGUCAAAAGAAUCAGUCCAACGGAAAUGCAACUUCGCAGAGAAAAGGGAUUAUGUUAUUUUUGUGAUGACAAAUUUACUUUUAAUCACAAGUGUCCAAAUAGACAGUAUUUGUUUUUGAAUUUGGAGGAUGACUCGUUGGAUCCUGAUUAUGAGCCGCCACCAGAUAUUGAUCAGCAGGUUGUUAAUGAAGAUAUUGGGGUUGACAACCAUCAUUUAUCUCUGAAUGCUCUUAAAGGUGGAGUGGGGGUGGGUACAAUUCGAUUAUUAGCUUACAUUGAUAAGCUACCUAUCACGGUUUUGGUGGAUGGAGGGAGUUCAAAUAAUUUUUUGCAUCCCCGCCUGGCAAAAUUCUUGAAGCUUCCGGUCGAACCAGCACCCAUGUUCAAAGUCAUGGUCGGCAAUGGAAAUUAUAUGGCAGCCGAGGGUUUCAUUCAGAAAUUGGCCCUCCAUGCUCAAGGGCAUUUGUUUCACAUACCUGUCUAUUUACUUCCAAUUUUAGGGGCUGAUUUGAUUCUGGGAGCUAAUUGGCUGAAAACCUUAGGUCCCCAUGUAGCCGAUUAUGAAUCCUUGAAUUUAAAAUUUUUGUAUUAAGGUAAAUUUGUAACAUUACAAGGAGAUGUUGAUAAUGUUCCCCUGCAGGCUCAAUUGCAUCAUAUUCGCAGGAUGGUCCACACAAAUUCCUUUGCCGAGGUUUAUAGCAUGCAAAUGGUGGAUACUAAUGUGCAAUCUUUGCCUUUGACAGAGUUACCACCUAAUAUAGACCCUAAAAUUGUCUUACUAUUGCGCACCUAUGCUUCUGUGUUCCAUACACCUUCCAAUUUGCCUCCUCCGCAUGCACAUGACCAUUCUAUUCCAUUAAUCGAAGGAUCAACUCCGGUGAAGGUGAAACCAUAUCGCUAUCCUCAUAGUAAAAAAGAAGAGAUUGAAAGGCUUGUUACUGAGAUUGAAAGCCCUUUUUCUUCACCAAUUAUACUUGUGAAAAAGAAAUAUGGUUCUUGGCGAGUUUGCACUGAUUAUAGAGCAUUGAAUGCAAAUACUAUAAAGGACAAUUUUCCAAUACCAACUGUGGAUGAGCUGAUUGAUGAACUUUUUGGUGCCACGAUUUUUUCUAAGUUUGAUUUGAGAUCAGGGUAUCAUCAAAUCUUGUUGAACCCGCAGGAUCAUUACAAAAUUGGUUUUCGUACGCAUCAUGGACAUUUCGAAUGGCUUGUCAUGCCAUUUGGAUUAACAAAUGCUCCAGCCACUUUUCAAAGUCUUAUGAAUCAUAUUUUUCAAGGAUUAUUGAGAAAAUUUGUUCUUGUUUUUUUCGAUGAUAUCCUUGUAUAUAGUUCUUCAUUCAAGGAUCAUGUGUAUCAUUUAGAAGUGGUUUUGAAGAUUUUACAACAGCAUUAGUUGUACGCAAGGUUUUCCAAAUGUUCAUUUGGAGUUGAAGAAAUUGAUUAUCUUGGUCAAACCAUUUCUGGAUCUGGGGUUGCCAUGGAUGAUAAAAAGGUGGAGGCUGUCAAAUUGUGGCCACGACCCAGUAACUUGAAACAAUUGCGUGGGUUCCUUGGUCUCACAGGGUAUUACCGACGAUUUGUUAAAGGGUAUGCCCAAAUUGCUGCUCCACUAACAAAAUUGUUGAAGAAAAAUGCCUUUAAAUGGACUGAAGCAGCAACCAUGGCCUUUAUCCAAUUGAAGGAAGCACUCACUACAACACCGGUCUUGGCACUACCAAAUUUUUCGGCUCCUUUUGUUCUUGAAACAGAUGCUUCUGGUUUGGGGUAGGAGCAGUUUUAAGUCAAGGUAAUCAUCCCAUUGCUUAUUUCUCUAAGAAAUUGUCUACGAGAAUGCAAAAGCAGUCUGCAUAUACUCGGGAAUUUUACGCGAUCACCGAGGCCUUGGCCAAAUUUCGACACUACCUGUUGGGCCAUAAGUUUAUUAUUAAAGCAGAUCAAAAGAGCUUAAAGGAGUUAGUAGAGCAACGUUUGCAGACUCCGGAACAGCAACAAUGGUUACCAAAGUUUUUGGGUUUUUAUUUCACAAUCCAAUAUAAAUCGGGAAAAGAGAAUGUCCCAGCCGAUGCAUUAUCUAGAAGUAUUAUGAUGGCAUGGUCAGAGCCAACUAAUCAAUGGCUAAAAAAGGUGGUUGUAGUAUCUCAAAAGGAUAAACGGUUGAAGGAUUUAUAUGAUCAGUGUUUGACUGAUAAGUUGCAAUCUCCAGAAUAUUUAAUCAAGGAUGGGUUAUUGCUUUGGAAGGGUCGUAUCAUGCUGCCAGAGGAUGAUGAUAUUAUCAAUCAGGUGCUCUUGGAAUUUCAUUCUUCCAAGAUCGGAGGACAUGCUGGAGUUGCCAAAACCAUUGCUCGAAUUUCUUCCCAAUUUUUUUGGCCUGCCAUGCAACAACGGAUUAGAAAAUUUGUUCGGGAAUGCCAAAUUUGCCAACAAGCUAAAGUGAAGCAAGCUUUACCUGCGGGGUUAUUACAGCCCUUGCCAAUUCCAUUACAUGUGUGGGAUGACAUAGCAAUGGAUUUCGUUACUUGCUUGCCUUUGUCACAUGGGUUCUCCACAAUAAUGGUAGUAGUUGACAAACUUUCCAAGUUUGGUCAUUUCAUUCCACUUAAGGCACAAUAUACUAGUAAGACAGUUGCUGAAGUUUUUAUUAACAACAUAGUUAAGCUGUAUGGUAUCCCUCGUUCCAUAGUCUCUGACAGGGACGGAGUUUUCAUUAGUUCAUUUUGGCAACAUCUUUUCAAGGCUAAGGUACUACACUUGCUAUGAGUUCUUCAUACCAUCCACAGUCAGAUGGACAGACCGAGGUUUUGAAUAAAACAUUAGAAAUGUAUCUUCGAUGUUUCACUUUUGAAAAUCCAAAAGGAUAGUAUUAUAUGCUUCCUUGGGCUCUAUUUUGGUACAAUUCUUCCUUACACCAGAGUAUUGGCAUGUCCCCUUUCAAGGCUUUAUAUGGGAGAGACCCUCCUACUGUUAUAAGGUAUGAAAUUGCUUCUACAGAUCCUGUUUCUGUACAAGAUAUGCUCCAAACUCGUGAUACACUCCUGCAGCUAUUGAAAACAAAUCUACUUAAGGCUCAGCAGUACAUGAAACAACAAGCUGAUAAAAGAAGAAGGGAUAUACACUUUGCAGUAGGGGAAUUAGUCUUAGUCAAACUACAACCUUAUAGACAACAUUUUGUUGCCUUAAGGAAAAAUUAGAAAUUAUGUAUGUGGUAUUUUGGUCCGUUUGAAGUGGUGGAAAAAAUUCACCCAGUGUUCCAUGUCUCCUUUCUUAAGGCUUUUAAGGGUAGUCCUUCACAAACUUAUUUACCUUUGCCUUUGACUACCACUGAUAUUGGUCCAAUUGUCCAUCCUUUGAAAGUUUUGGAAUCUAGAACCAUUAUACGACAGUCUCAAUCGAUUCCUCAAAUUUUAAUUCAAUGGGAUUCCUUAGAUACCACUGAUGCCACUUGGGAGGAUGUAGCUGAGAUCCAACAGUCUUUUCUAGAAUUCAACCUUGAGGACAAGGUUGUUUUCAAUGGGAGGAGUAUUGUAACGGGUGAGAAAAAUGAAAGUCAAACAAAUGCUGAGUUGGAUGUGAGGGACAAUUCUGUUAUACCAAAAAAUCACAUGGCAGGUGAUCCACAAGGAAAAGGGAGCAGGAAAAGCAUGAGGCGUAAGAGAGAGAAUCUAUUUAUGAAGGAUUACGUGCUCUGAGGGCGCUAUGCGUGUNGUAUGUUCUCUNUGACCAAUUCUGUUAUUCCCANUCUUCUUACAGUACAAUCUCUCCUUCUGAAAUUCUUCUUCUCUGAAUGAACCAUGAACCAGGUUAUUACCAUUGUGAGAUGACUACUAGAAUGCUUCCACUGUUGGCUGAAUACCUUUCACUAUAUUAUUCAGUUUCUUUUUGUUCAUUAUGAAAUACCCAUAUCAGACCUCUGUCAUAUUUUGGUAGCAAUAAAACUAUCCAUUCCAGAGUUUAUUUUAAUUCAUUCUUAGUUUCUAUUUGGUCAUUGCUAUAUAUCCUAGUAUUUCGGGACUGUUUUUUUUUGUUAUUGUUUCACUAAGCAAGCGAUUUUCCCCCUUCGCUUUUGUAGCUAAAGUUUUUUUUUUUUUUUU